rnacentral:rRNA from 1 species
CGGACAGAUGGGAGCUUGCUCCCUGAUGUUAGCGGCGGACGGGUGAGUAACACGUGGGUAACCUGCCUGUAAGACUGGGAUAACUCCGGGAAACCGGGGCUAAUACCGGAUGGUUGUUUGAACCGCAUGGUUCAAACAUAAAAGGUGGCUUCGGCUACCACUUACAGAUGGACCCGCGGCGCAUUAGCUAGUUGGUGAGGUAACGGCUCACCAAGGCAACGAUGCGUAGCCGACCUGAGAGGGUGAUCGGCCACACUGGGACUGAGACACGGCCCAGACUCCUACGGGAGGCAGCAGUAGGGAAUCUUCCGCAAUGGACGAAAGUCUGACGGAGCAACGCCGCGUGAGUGAUGAAGGUUUUCGGAUCGUAAAGCUCUGUUGUUAGGGAAGAACAAGUACCGUUCGAAUAGGGCGGUACCUUGACGGUACCUAACCAGAAAGCCACGGCUAACUACGUGCCAGCAGCCGCGGUAAUACGUAGGUGGCAAGCGUUGUCCGGAAUUAUUGGGCGUAAAGGGCUCGCAGGCGGUUUCUUAAGUCUGAUGUGAAAGCCCCCGGCUCAACCGGGGAGGGUCAUUGGAAACUGGGGAACUUGAGUGCAGAAGAGGAGAGUGGAAUUCCACGUGUAGCGGUGAAAUGCGUAGAGAUGUGGAGGAACACCAGUGGCGAAGGCGACUCUCUGGUCUGUAACUGACGCUGAGGAGCGAAAGCGUGGGGAGCGAACAGGAUUAGAUACCCUGGUAGUCCACGCCGUAAACGAUGAGUGCUAAGUGUUAGGGGGUUUCCGCCCCUUAGUGCUGCAGCUAACGCAUUAAGCACUCCGCCUGGGGAGUACGGUCGCAAGACUGAAACUCAAAGG